GACGAACGCUGGCGGCGUGCUUAACACAUGCAAGUCGAACGAAGUGGCGAACGGGUGAGUAACGCGUAAUCAACCUGCCCUUCAGAGGGGGACAACAGUUGGACACGACUGCUAAUACCCCAUACUGAAGGAGGGGAUUGCGUCUGAUUAGCUAGUUGGAGGGGUAACGGCCCACCAAGGCGAUGCUCAGUAGCCGGUCUUGGAGGAUGAACGGCCACAUUGGGACUGAGACACUGCCCAGACUCCUACGGUAUGCAGCAGUGGGGAAUCUGCCGCCAUGGGCGAAAGUCUGACGGAGCAACGCCGGUUGAGUGAUGACGGCCUUCGGGUUGUAAAGCUCUGUUAAUCGGGACGCGGUACCGGAAUAGAAAGCCACGGCGAACUACGUGCCAGCCGCCGCGGUAAUAC
rnacentral:rRNA from 1 species